rnacentral:rRNA from 1 species
UCUAUGGGCCAUGCCACCCUGAACAAGCCCAAUGUCUGAUCUCGGAAGCUAAGCAGGGUUGGGCCUGGUUAGUACUUGGAUGGGAAACCACCUAGGAAGACCGACCUAGGUGCUGUAAGCA